rnacentral:rRNA from 1 species
AGACGUAGGGGACUAGCGUUAUCCGGAAUUACUGGGCGUAAAGGGCGUGUAGGCGGCUUUGCAAGUCAGUGGUGAAACACCUGGGCUUAACCCAGGUAUUGCCAUUGAAACUGUAUAGCUUGAGGGUAGAAGAGGAGUGUGGAAUUCCCGGUGUAGCGGUGAAAUGCGUAGAGAUCGGGAGGAACACCAGUGGCGAAGGCGGCACUCUGGUCUACACCUGACGCUGAGGCGCGAAAGCUAGGGUAGCAAACAGGAUUAGAUACCCUGGUAGUCCUAGCCGUAAACGAUGGGCACUAGGUGUAGGGGGUUUAGAUACCUCCUGUGCCGUAGCUAACGCAUUAAGUGCCCCGCCUGGGGAGUACGGUCGCAAGGCUGAA